UACGUAGGGGGCAAGCGUUGUCCGGAAUUAUUGGGCGUAAAGAGCUCGUAGGCGGUCUGUUGCGUCGGCUGUGAAAACCCGGGGCUCAACUCCGGGCCUGCAGCCGAUAACGGGCAGACUAGAGUUCGGCAGGGGAGACUGGAAUUCCUGGUGUAGCGGUGAAAUGCGCAGAUAUCAGGAGGAACACCGGUGGCGAAGGCGGGUCUCUGGGCCGAUACUGACGCUGAGGAGCGAAAGCGUGGGGAGCGAACAGG
rnacentral:rRNA from 1 species